rnacentral:rRNA from 1 species
GACGAACGCUGGCGGCGUGCCUAAUACAUGCAAGUCGAACGCUGAAGGAGGAGCUUGCUUCUCUGGAUGAGUUGCGAACGGGUGAGUAACGCGUAGGUAACCUGCCUGGUAGCGGGGGAUAACUAUUGGAAACGAUAGCUAAUACCGCAUAAGAGUAGAUGUCGCAUGACAUUUGCUUAAAAGGUGCAAUUGCAUCACUACCAGAUGGACCUGCGUUGUAUUAGCUAGUUGGUGAGGUAACGGCUCACCAAGGCAACGAUACAUAGCCGACCUGAGAGGGUGAUCGGCCACACUGGGACUGGGACACGGCCCAGACUCCUACGGGAGGCAGCAGGAGGGAAUCUUCGGCAAUGGACGGAAGUCUGACCGAGCAACGCCGCGUGAGUGAAGAAGGUUUUCGGAUCGUAAAGCUCUGUUGUAAGAGAAGAACGAGUGUGAGAGUGGAAAGUUCACACUGUGACGGUAUCUUACCAGAAAGGGACGGCUAACUACGUG